rnacentral:rRNA from 1 species
UGAAAUCUGGCCCUCGUGGUCCGAAUUGUAAUUUGUAGAGGAUGCUUUUGGUGAGGUGCCUUCCGAGUUCCCUGGAACGGGACGCCAUAGAGGGUGAGAGCCCCGUCUGGUUGGACACCGAGCCUCUGUAAAGCUCCUUCGACGAGUCGAGUAGUUUGGGAAUGCUGCUCUAAAUGGGAGGUAUAUGUCUUCUAAAGCUAAAUAUUGGCCAGAGACCGAUAGCGCACAAGUAGAGUGAUCGAAAGAUGAAAAGCACUUUGAAAAGAGGGUUAAAUAGUACGUGAAAUUGUUGAAAGGGAAGCGCUUGUGACCAGACUUGGGCUUGGUUAAUCAUCCAGGGUUCUCCCUGGUGCACUUGGCCAGCCCAGGCCAGCAUCAGUUCGUCGCGGGGGAUAAAGGCGUUGGGAAUGUGGCUCCCUCGGGAGUGUUAUAGCCCUUCGUGUAAUACCCUGCCUCGGACUGAGGUUCGCGCAUCUGCAAGGAU